UAAAAUGAGAGCUUGAUCCUGGCUCAGGACGAACGCUGGCGGCGUGCCUAAUACAUGCAAGUCGAGCGAGCGGAACUAACAGAUUUACUUCGGUAAUGACGUUAGGAAAGCGAGCGGCGGAUGGGUGAGUAACACGUGGGGAACCUGCCCCAUAGUCUGGGAUACCACUUGGAAACAGGUGCUAAUACCGGAUAAGAAAGCAGAUCGCAUGAUCAGCUUUUAAAAGGCGGCGUAAGCUGUCGCUAUGGGAUGGCCCCGCGGUGCAUUAGCUAGUUGGUAAGGUAAAGGCUUACCAAGGCGAUGAUGCAUAGCCGAGUUGAGAGACUGAUCGGCCACAUUGGGACUGAGACACGGCCCAAACUCCUACGGGAGGCAGCAGUAGGGAAUCUUCCACAAUGGACGCAAGUCUGAUGGAGCAACGCCGCGUGAGUGAAGAAGGUUUUCGGAUCGUAAAGCUCUGUUGUUGGUGAAGAAGGAUAGAGGUAGUAACUGGCCUUUAUUUGACGGUAAUCAACCAGAAAGUCACGGCUAACUACGUGCCAGCAGCCGCGGUAAUACGUAGGUGGCAAGCGUUGUCCGGAUUUAUUGGGCGUAAAGCGAGCGCAGGCGGAAGAAUAAGUCUGAUGUGAAAGCCCUCGGCUUAACCGAGGAACUGCAUCGGAAACUGUUUUUCUUGAGUGCAGAAGAGGAGAGUGGAACUCCAUGUGUAGCGGUGGAAUGCGUAGAUAUAUGGAAGAACACCAGUGGCGAAGGCGGCUCUCUGGUCUGCAACUGACGCUGAGGCUCGAAAGCAUGGGUAGUGAACAGGAUUAGAUACCCUGGUAGUCCAUGCCGUAAACGAUGAGUGCUAAGUGUUGGGAGGUUUCCGCCUCUCAGUGCUGCAGCUAACGCAUUAAGCACUCCGCCUGGGGAGUACGACCGCAAGGUUGAAACUCAAAGGAAUUGACGGGGGCCCGCACAAGCGGUGGAGCAUGUGGUUUAAUUCGAAGCAACGCGAAGAACCCUACCAGGUCUUGACAUCUAGUGCCAUUUGUAGAGAUACAAAGUUCCCUUCGGGGACGCUAAGACAGGUGGUGCAUGGCUGUCGUCAGCUCGUGUCGUGAGAUGUUGGGUUAAGUCCCGCAACGAGCGCAACCCUUGUUAUUAGUUGCCAGCAUUAAGUUGGGCACUCUAAUGAGACUGCCGGUGACAAACCGGAGGAAGGUGGGGAUGACGUCAAGUCAUCAUGCCCCUUAUGACCUGGGCUACACACGUGCUACAAUGGGCAGUACAACGAGAAGCGAGCCUGCGAAGGCAAGCGAAUCUCUGAAAGCUGUUCUCAGUUCGGACUGCAGUCUGCAACUCGACUGCACGAAGCUGGAAUCGCUAGUAAUCGCGGAUCAGCACGCCGCGGUGAAUACGUUUCCGGGCCUUGUACACACCGCCCGUCACACCAUGGGAGUCUGCAAUGCCCAAAGCCGGUGGCCUAACCUUCGGGAAGGAGCCGUCUAAGGCAGGGCAGAUGACUGGGGUGAAGUCGUAACAAGGUAGCCGUAGGAGAACCUGCGGCUGGAUCACCUCCUUU
rnacentral:rRNA from 1 species